AAAGCCCGCCGGGCGAUCGCCGGCAGCCUCGUCUGCCGGAGGAAAGUCCGGACUCCGCAGAGCGGCGUAGCAGGUAACACCUGUCCACCGUGAGGUGAGGAUCAGAGCAACAGAGACGAGCCGAUUCAGUUCGGGUGAAACGGGCAAUCUCUACGCGGAGCAACACCAAGUAGGCGACCGACAACCUUGCUCGGGUAGGUCGCGGGUAGGUGGCUCGAGCCAGUCAGCGAUGGCGGGCCCAGAGGAAUGAUCGCCACACGGCGCAACCUGCGCCGUGCACAGAAUCCGGCUUAUAGGCGGGCUUUGCAC
rnacentral:RNase_P_RNA from 1 species